UUAACACAUGCAAGUCGAGGGGCAGCAUGGUGGUAGCUUGCUACCACCGAUGGCGACCGGCGCACGGGUGAGUAACACGUAUCCAACCUGCCGUCAGCUUGGGGAUAGCCCUCUGAAAGGAGGAUUAAUACCCGAUGUGGUUGUGUUCCUGCAUGGGGAUGCAAUUAAAGAUUCAUCGGCUGUCGAUGGGGAUGCGUCUGAUUAGCUUGUUGGCGGGGUAACGGCCCACCAAGGCACCGAUCAGUAGGGGUUCUGAGAGGAAGGUCCCCCACAUAGGAACUGAGACACGGUCCUAACUCCUACGGGAGGCAGCAGUGAGGAAUAUUGGUCAAUGGACGUAAGUCUGAACCAGCCAAGUAGCGUGAAGGAUGACUGCCCUACGGGUUGUAAACUUCUUUUAUGGGAGAAUAAAGUGAGGUACGCGUACCUUAUUGUAGGUAUCCUAUGAAUAAGCAUCGGCUAAUUCCGUGCCAGCAGCCGCGGUAAUACGGAAGAUGCGACCGUUAUCCGGAU
rnacentral:rRNA from 1 species